AACGGGUUUUCUGCGGUAUUUGGGAACUGGCUCAUAACCUCGAGGUCACAGGUUCGAAUCCUGUCCCCG
rnacentral:tRNA from 1 species